GAAUUUGGCAGCAUGGAAAGUGGUUGAUCUCAUUGCCACUGCCAUAUUGGUGGUGAGAACUCUAGGCUGUCAAUAAAGAGGCAGUAUUCAUUUGAAAGCUAUUUAAUACACAAAAAACAGGAGCAGGAAUAGACCAUACAGUCUGAUGAGCCUGCUCAUCCUUCAAUAUGGCCGUGGAUGAUCUUGGGCUUCAACUCCACUUUCCUGCGUGUGUGUGUGUGUGUGCGUGUGCGUGUGUGUGUGUGUGCAUCCACCUCUGCAAAGACCUGAGAAGCAAGGGAACUUGUGAAGGUUCAGGACACAGAAGGCCAGAGAAAAGAUGCGACAGAUGGUUUCUGCAAUAGCAGCUGAAAAGGGCAUAGGUAAUCUUCCAGAAUUUACAAAGGUUUCAGGAUAUUUCAGAAUUAAAGUGGUUAAAAGAUGGCCACAGAGGAGGAGGAGGUGGAAGAAAAGAGGAUGAUGAAUGCACUGACUACAACUGUUGAUGACACCAGCUCAGAGGCCAGAAUUGCAUGUAAUUUAACGGCAAGUUUAGAAGCAAGAUCUUCACAGAGGGAUGCAUCAGAAAGUAGUGGAAGGCAACAAUGCUGGGUAGAAAGGACACUACAGGCCGUCACCUUGCCAGAAGGACAUGUUGCUGAAGUGGAGUCAGAUUAGGACCCCACAGGGCCAAACUUCAGAAGAAGGCUGAUAGGCCUGCAACCCAUAUGCUAGGUGCAGUGGACAGCUUGUCUGAGAGCCACGAGGUCAUGGCUAUGGGAAUCAAUGAACUUAUCUCCAUCUUUGUCUGUGGUUUGACACUAAGCCUAGGAUCUAUUCUUUCCAGCAUGCAGAAGCUGGCCAAUUCCAUCCAAUGAAGCCCAUUAUGAUGUAGUGUCUGAUAACUAAUGUUACAGUUUCCAAUGCAGUCAUUACAGCAUCUAUGGAGUGGCAAAGUGCUGCAAAAGAAGCCCAUGCAAUUGCCAUGGUGGCUCUGAUGUCCUCAGUUGAAAGAAGUUUGCAGAAUAUCUCAGCUGGCCAGAGAGCUGUCCUCCACAAAAUCACCUGGCUGGAUAGAGGCCCUAAGACAGUGGGAAUCAUGGAGCAGGAGCCUAGUGGUCUCUCUCUGCUUCCUCCUCCAGCACUGCACCAUUGUCCUUACCGUUUCUUUUUAAAAUGGACCAAGGCUUUACUCUGGCUAGUUAUGACUCAUAACAGAAAAUUGCUAACCUUCAGAAACCAGCAGGAACUUUGUUACCCUUGAGGAGACGUUAAUGCUCUUUGUGACUGCAGAAAAUCAAAUUCAAAAUAAAUGCACCAACACCCUUUACAUUUGUGGUCAAUGGGGAUGGCAUGUCUGCAUGGACAAAAGAGACCUUGAUGCCUUACAUGACCUCCCCCAAACUGCUAGAACCUGCAAUAUUGCCAUGUGGAAUUAAAUCCAGGCUGUCUACCAUUUUACCAUCUAACAGGUAGCAGCAGAAGAGCUCUGUCUAAGUGCCUGCCCCUAAUCUACACAGUGAACUAUGGGAACAUCAGAACGCCUGCAUCUGCACCUAUAAACUCAUUCAUCUCUAUAUCCCUUCUUCCAUCAGGGAAGUCAUCACCUAUGGGAAGACAAAUCACCCUGCAACAGUUUCAACCUGCUAUCCUCUCAAGUAAUACCCCAUUGGACUUUUGAUUCUGGACUCUUGCUUACGUCAAACCAUGACUCUUAUUUUUAUCAUGGUCUUGCCCUGAACCCCUUUCUUUCCCUUAUCCCUCUUUUAUUGUAUGAGUGCAAGAAGGGGAGGACAUUGUGAAACCCCUUC